CACGUAGGCACCAAGCGUUGUCCGGAUUUAUUGGGCGUAAAGAGCUCGUAGGCGGUUCAGUAAGUCGGGUGUGAAAACUCUGGGCUCAACCCAGAGACGCCACCCGAUACUGCUGUGACUUGAGUACGGUAGGGGAGUGGGGAAUUCCUGGUGUAGCGGUGAAAUGCGCAGAUAUCAGGAGGAACACCAAUGGCGAAGGCAGCUCGCUGGGACGUGACUGACGCUGAGACGCGAAAGCGUGGGGAGCAAACAGG
rnacentral:rRNA from 1 species